rnacentral:lncRNA from 1 species
UGAAUUUUAAUUAGGUCGUGGGCUACUAUUCACAGCAUUUAACGACCGUUACAAAAAGUGAAUUUUUUUUGAACGCUUUCGCAAUAGUUAAUGAAUAUUGCAAAAAAUGAAACUUUUCCCAACAUUCAAUAAACGUUAUAAAAAUGACGUUGCAAAAAGUUCACUUUGCAUUAGUUAAUAAACAUUGCAAAAGGCCAUAUAUUACGAGUUUCAACAAUGUGCACUGAACGUUGGUGUAAAGCCAGAUUUUAACAGCAUUCAAUAAACAUUGAAAAAAAUGAAACUUUUCGCAGCAUUCAAUGAAUGUUACAAAAAAGUUAACUUUUUGUUAAAGCCAAUAAACAUUUCAACAGGCUAUAUAUUAAGAGUUUCAGCAACAUGCACCAAAUGUUGAUGUAAAGUUCAAAUUUUAACAGCGUUCAAUAAACAUUGCAAAAAAUAAAACUUUUCACAACAUUCAAUAAAUGUUGCAAAAAAGUUCACUUUUUGCAACAAUUAGUAAACGUUGCAAAAUGCUAUAUAUUAGAACUUUUAGCAACAUUCACUGAACGUUGUUGUAAAGCCAGAUUUUAACAAUAUUCAAUAAACACUACAAAAAAUGAAACUUUUCAUAACAUUCAAUAAACGUUGCAAAAUAUGACAUUAGUAACAUACAUUUAAAAAAUGUUGCCAAAACUCAAUUAUGUUAACCAAUGGCAACAUUCACUUAUUAAAAUUAUACAAUAGACUCUCUUUAACAACACUCAAUUAACAAAUGUUGCCUCUUUCGUGUUCCCAAAAAUGAUUUUUGUUGUUGUGAUUCUCAUAGUCUAUCCACUAGAACAUUACUUCAUUCGUGUUUCGAUUGAAAAUUGGAAUAUUUUCCACCUUACACCAUAAUGAGCUUGUAUUUUUUUAUUAUUUAUUCCUAAAGUUACAUAUUUGACAUGUCGACUUUGUUUCAGUAUGUUUACAUCAACGAUGGUGCAGAUAUCGUUGCAUUAGCUAGAGACUAUAUCAAGUUUCUGUUUGGAGGACAGAAGAGCUAACAUCUAAGGCAUGCCAUCUAUUAGUGAAAGAUGUUCUUCAAGAUGCUGACAUAGAAGAAAGAUGAAGAUGAUCGAUAUUGGCUUUAACGCAAAAUAUUUAGUACCUCCACAUGGUAUGAUAGCCCUGUUAAGUCUAUAAACUGUGAUACCGGAGAGCAUGUACCUUAUUCAUCCUUGAGAAAGGGUAUAUAAAGCAUAAGGUUUAAGACUCUUAAUGAAAACCUUGCACAAAGCUUGCUUCUCAAAAGAUUUGGUUUCGUAGUGUUUUCAUGUCUUCAUUUAUGCCUUUACCUUGUGAAAUACAUUUAUGAUAAAAGUUCAUUAAGGAAUGGCAAGAAGGAAUUUGCAAUAGAUUUACUCUGGAUGAUUGUACAGGCUUGAGCAUAAGGAUAUCACUUUUUCUUCUUCUUUUGAUUUCAUGUUUAGCGAUUGAAUGCCACCAUCAGGGGUUCGUGGUCUACUAUGUACGUGUGAGGUGUGGUGGAAGGAAGAGGCCAAAUCCCAAGAGUAUUUUGUAUAGUUAGAAGAAUUAUUAAGUUAUCGAGUACCUGAGUUAACGGGAUCCAUGGACAAAAACUAUAACCUUUCGUCAUGUAAAGUUGUGAAAAUAAUUGGAACCUAUUUAUUCUUGUUUUUAUUUUUGUUUUUGUUUUGGUUCGUGAAAGGAGCUACUUUGUUUGCUAACUCCAAUUGGAUUUUCAAGGUUUGUGCUUUUUGAAGCUAAAUUAAUUAGGGUGUUGAGUUUAUUGCACAAGUUUUGAAGGGAAUUGCGAUUUGGAAUUUACAUUUAGAGUCCGAAGUUUAAAUUUUGGUUCGGCUUAAUUAGAAUAUUAAUGAAGAUGAAUCAAAGAGAAGCUGUCAAAACCAGCAACGCUCCGGAUCCCAAUUAAUUACUUUUAACUCUCCCGCUUUAUAUGUUGAUGCAUUUUUUUCUACUUGUCUAAAUGGUGUCUUUAGUCUCGAUGAUAGCUGGUUUUGCCUCCGCAAGUUUGGAGUCAACUGAAGAUACAAUCGUCCUGAAAAAGUACUAAGAUAUUUUUGUAUUUUUUUUAGUAUUUUUGCAUUUUUUAGGAAGGGCGGUUAACAUUACGAUAUAGAGAACUAUUAUACACGUUCAAGGGCAUUUAAUAUUAAUACUUCCUGCUAAAGCUUGCUUUCGGAAGGUUUUAUUGUUUCCUUUUGCGUUUCUCAGUUUUUGAAAUUUGAAUUUAUUCUGCAAUUAAGGGUAAAAUGUAUAUUGCUAAUUUGUUCCUCAUAAUCUUUCAUUUGUCAAUAUACCCUUUUUACAAUGUUGUCUGCCUCGAAACAUUUAGCAACAUAUGCUUAAAUUUGAUAUAACUAAUGCUCAACACAUAAUAUUUUCUUAUACAUACAUUAUUACAUAACUCAACUAUAUCGUGUAACAGGCCUUGCACGUGUGUCUUACUUGGUUGAGCCAAUUGUAUAUGGGUAAGGGUUAGUUAAUGAUGAGUUCAGAUAGUGGAUUUGGCUUUAGGAAAAAAUUCAUAUCUAAGAGUUUAACUUUGACCGAUUUCAAAACUAAUAAAAAAUGUUUAAAAUUUAAUAUUAUUAAAUUUUGUUUAUGAAAUAAUUGAAUAAAAAAUAUUUUAUUAAUUAAACAUAUUAAGGUCACAAAUCUAUAUAAUUUCAUCACAAAUUAUCAAAUUAAUUGGUUACAAAUUAUUUCUCGAGCACAAAUUAAAAAUUCUAUAGGACAUUAUUCAUCGGUCACAAAAUCAAAACUUUUAUUGACCACAAUUCAUUUAUCAAUUACAUAUUAUCAAAUUAAUUGCCAAAUUAAUUUUGUUGUCACAACUUAAUAAUUGUGAGUCACAAUUACAUUUUUUAGGUCACAAAUUACCCAAUUUAUUGGUCACAAUCAACCAAAUAAUUGGUCACAAAUAGCUCAUAUCCCGUCCCAUCUACCCAUGACCACCGUCGCCUCACCAGACUGUGCAAAAUCACCACCACAACAACCACUACAUCACAUCAAUGCAAACCUACCACCACCAUAGUAACCACACACCAAACUCCUACACUAUCAUCAUUGCUAGAUCGCAACAUAACCAAACUCCUACAAAUCAACCACAAAACCAUCACAAACCCAUCGUGACAACCAGAGUGUACACCACUGUGCGCAACACUCUGAGUUCGUUGCUGCUCGGGACGAGAUCUGAAUGUCGUACACGACGGGAUCUGAUCGUCAUUGUAUGCAACGAACUCAAGCUCCGUUUCGCAACAACGCCUAAGGCAAUACACUCGCCACUCACAACGGCUGAUCAGUGGCACUGGAUUCGCCUCCUCGUCGGUACCUACUGGUGAAAGGAGUGAAAGAAAAAAAAAUGAAAUAGGUCUUCCUACCAAGAGUUCCUUGGGGAUAUGCAAGAACUGGCUAACACUGCAUACGCUAUAUCCGGAUGUGUGUGACGGAUACAUAGGUUCCUACAAGCACUGGUACAUUUCCAUGUCUACUGCAGCAUCUUCCUCUACCUUUCCAAGUCUAACAUUCGAAUCUAAUGGAGUACUUGCUGGUUUGCAAGAUAUCUUCUCCUUAUCAUCAAUCCCGAUCACUAUUGUGUCAUCAACAUAUUCUAAGAAAACUGUGACUCCCUUGAAGGUGAGUGUUUAAUGUACAGCAUAUGAUCCCUUUAGCUUUGUCUAUAUAUAUCUCUGGUGAUUGCUCAAGUCCAUAGAGGCUUUCUUCAACUUACACACAAUAUAACCAGCCAAAUUAUUCCCAUAACCUAAUACGACCUCUAUAUAAAUUUCUUCCUUUAGUUCUCCAUGCAAACAAUGCAAUCUUAAGAUCAAAAUGCUGCAAUUCCCAACCAUAAUUAGUUGUUAAUGACAACAAGAUUCUAACAGCAGUUAUCUUUGCAAUUGGAGCAAAAGUCUCUAGGUAAUCGAUUCCAUAUGAUCAAGUAUAACCUUUAGCCACCAACUUUGCCUCGUAUCUUUCUAUCGAUCCAUCUGCCCUAUACUUCACUACAUAAACCCAUUUUAUAUCCCACUAAUCUCUUUCUUGUUGGCAACUUUACCAAUUCCCAAGUUUUUUUAAGGACCUCUAUCUCUACAUUCAUAGCUUGUUUCUAUUUCUCAUUGGACAAAGCCUUCGAUAAGGUGGUAGGAAUGACAAUGGUGUUUAAGCUAACAAGGAAGGCUCUAUGAGAUGGUAAAGAAUGUUUAAAAGACAAGAAAUGUGCAAGAGGAUAUAAAUGUCGGUUUGUGAGCAAUGGGAAGGUCCUGUCAUUACUGCUCACAUUAGAUUCAGUUUUAGCUUGCAAUGAAGGGUUAGAAAUUGUUGCCGCAUUCUCAAGAUCUGGGUUCGAGUCUUGUACUUGCACAGAUUCAAGGACAACCAUCUUCCUUGAAAACACCUUGCCCUUACCAAAUAUUUACAUUUUCAAAAGUAGAGUCCAUCUUUUCUUGAGGAUUUUCGAGCACAGGUUCAAACAAGGAGACACGGAAUUCAACAUAGUGGAAUGAGGAACUGAUCUGGAAUUCUCCCCCUGAAGAUAAGGAGCUGUGAAAUACGACUCUAAUUCAUUGAAAGUAACACCACCGAGACAUAGAAUUUCUUUAAUGGAGGGUGGUAACACUUACACCCUUUCUGAAUUGACAAAUAACCACAAAGACACAUCUUAACACCCUAGGAUCCAAGUUUCCCCUAUUUUGACUAUGGUCAUGGACAAAUGAUAUACACCCAAAUAUCCUAGGGACAAGAUUAUUUGUAGUGAGGUUAGGAUAGAAUGUCGAUAGUAUUUCCAUUUGCCUCUUGAAUCCCAAGAUUCUGGAAGGUAAACGAUUUAUUAAAUGUGUGGCUGUAAGAACUGCUUCUCCCCAAAAGGAUUUAGGUACAUCUCUCUGGAACAUGAAGGCUCAGGUUGAUUUAAGGUGUCUAUUUUACAUUUUUGCUACUCUAUUUUGCUGUAGAGUACUAACAUAAGAUGACUCGUGUACUAUCCCUUAAUUCUUCUUAAAGUACGGAGAUAGGACUUGAUUGAACCAACCCAAACCUUUUGAUAUUGACCUUAAAUUGAUUCUUAAUCAUGGAACAAAAAUUUGGAUGAACAGUACUAACAUCAGAUUUAUGUUUGAGCCAAAAAAUCCAAGUAACAUGAGAAUUAUGUUUAAUAACCCUAAAUGACACAUGUCCAAGUCAACAAUGGUGAAGCCACUCUCUAUAUUGGAUGAAAAAACUCAAACAAAAGAAUGAGGUAAUUUGCCCUUGAUGAUACUUGAUUGCCUCGGUGAUUCGAGUUAGGAAAGCCCAUCCCAUUCUCUAGCAUGUCCAAUCAUCUUCCCCGAAUCCUUGUCCUGAAAUACACUAACUAUAAUGAAAAACCACAUUGCAAUGUAAAUCAUGAGUGAGUUUUUGUAUAGAGACAAUAUUUGUGGACAGUCUAGAGACAUGGAGAACAUUUUACGGUCAGUGAUGGGCUUAUUUUGAAAUCUCCUGCACCUGCUACCUUGGUCAAAGAACCAUAAGUUGUGACUAUUUUCCUAUUGCUUGGACAUGGGAAAUAUGUGAAAAAAAUAUUUUGUGAGUUGGUCAUAUGUUCAGUAGCUCCUAAGUCCAUGACGCAAGAGUUUGGCAAAGGUUUAACCCAAUAGAGAAAGAAAACUCACCUAAAUACGCAAUGAACAAAUACCUGAAGGUUUGUCAAGGUUGCCAAUAAGAGAUCUCACCUUCUUGACCUCUUUUUGGAGUAUAGUGUGGCAGAAGAAACAGCUUUUUACCUUUUCAAAACAAGUAGUGCGAAACAAGGUGGAGGCAACUCAUUUGUUGGUGAAGGAUUUACAUAUCAAAAAAUUAAGAAGAGACUUGCUACUCACGUUGGAAAGCAUAAAAGUUCACAUAAUCAAGCUCGCAUUAAAUGUGAAGCCUUGAUGAAUCAAGAGCAACACGGUCAAUCAAUUUUCUUCAAGCAGUCCAAACAAAUGCGACAUGAUUAUUAUGUCUAUUUUAUUGCAUCAAUUGACUGUGUUCAAGUUUUGUUGCAACAAGGGCUUUCAUUUCAGGGUAAUGAUGAAUUUAAAAAUUCUCUCAAUUAAGGUAACUUCCUAAUUCAAUUACAAUUCCUAGCUGAUCAUAAUCAUGAGGUUAAGGCUGUGACGUUGGAAAAUGCUCCUCAAAAUUGCAAUCUAAUAUCCCCUAAAGUAUAAAAGAAUAGAGCAAGUGCUUGUGCUGCUGAAACGAUAAAUGUGAUUAUAGAUGUUGGAGAUUCAUUAUUUUCUAUUUUAGUUGAUGAAUCUCGUGACGUGUCAACAAAGGAGCAAAUGUCAAUUGUGUUACGACAUGUGAAAAAUGAAUUUGUAAAUGAAUGUUUCAUAGGUAUUGAACAUGUGUCUAGUACCAUUGUUGUCUCACUCAAGGCCGCUAUUGAUAACAAGUUUUCUAGAUAUAACUUGAGCAUUUCUAAUUUAAGAGGACAAAGUUACGAUGGGGCAAGCAAUAUGCAAUGUCAAUUCAGUGGUCUCAAAGCACUCAUUUUAAAUUAGAACCCUGUGCCUUUUAUGCUCAUAAUUUUGCUCAUCAACCGCAAUUAGUAGCUAUGGCAAAGAAGAAUAUACCGAUUAUUAAAUUCGUUCAUGUGGUUGCUAAUGUGAUAAAUAAUGUUAUAACAUCUUCUAAACGUUGUAAUCUUCUACAAGAGAAACAAUCAGACUUCAUUAUUGAGGCAUUGGAGAAUGAUGAUAUCUUAAGUGGACGGGGCAUUAAUCAAAAAACCACUCUUCAACGUUUAGGUGAUACGCGUUAGUGAUCCCAUUAUAAAUCUUUGGUUAGCUUGAUUAGCAUGUUUAAGGUUGUUAUUGAUGUACUUGAAAUAACUGUUGAAGAUGAAUCUAGUACUUGUGAUAAAAAAAAAAAAAAAGUAAUGCAUUCAAUUUAUUGGAGUCAAUACAAUCGUUUGAUUUUGCAUUUAAUCUACAUUUAAUGAAAAGUGUCUUGAGGAUUUCAAAUGAUUUGUCACAGGAAUUGCAAAGGAAAGAUCAAGACAUUAUCAAUGCAAUGGACAUGGUGAAUGUUUGCAAAAAACAACUCCCAACUUCUGUGAGAUGAUGGGAUUCUUUUUUGCAACAAGUUCCUUUUGUCAGAAUCAUUAUAUUGAUGUGCCAAACAUGGAUGCUAUGUUUAUGGUAUUCGCUCUCAUCGUAAUCCUCCACAAGUAACCAACUUGCAUUACUUUUUGGUAGAUUUAUUUUACGCUAUCAUUGAUAUGCAACUUCAAGAAUUGAAUGAUCAUUUCUCAAAGAUAAAUACUGAGUUGAUCCUUUUGUUUAGCUUGCCUGUGUCCACAAAAUUCAUUCUUUGCUUUUCACAAAAGAAAUUUUUAUCCACAAAAUUUUCCAAUGGUAGUUCUCUUCACAGUGGAAUAUCAACUUGAUAAUUAUAUUUUUAACACUCUUUAAUAAAGAGUUCGAAGAAUUGAAUAGCUUUAGCGCUCUAGCACAUAAAUUAGUUUUGAAAAAUAAGAAUAGAGCAUACCUACUGGUUUGCAAGCUUUUGACUUUCACACUAAUUCUUCCGGGUGCCAUGACUACUGUGGAGAGUAUUUUCUGCCAUGAAUAUUGUGAAUGAUAGAUUAUGAAAUCGGAUUGAAGAUGAGUGGAUGAAUGAUAGCCACAUCGUUUAUGCGGAAAAAGAUAUAUUCUUGAAGAUUAGUAAUAAAGUAAUUUCACAAAGAUAUCAAAGUAUGAAAACUCGUAAAUAACAAUUGUAAGAUAUUUCAUUUUUAGUAUAGUAUUUGUGUAUUGUGUUAUAAUACCGCUAUUUCUUUUGUGCAUUUUCUAAUAUCGCCCGCACUAAAAAGACUUUCUGAGUCCACCCCUGGAAACCUCUUAUGUCACUCUUCUCAAUCCAGAUGAGCAUGGUUUAAUCUUGACAACUCUUGGUAGGAAGAAGUCAAUAGAUGCCAAUGUGGACUUGAUGGCAAUUGGAAGUGACAGUGAUUGUGAAAAUUUCAGUGGAGCUGACCUAUCUGCUCUGGUUUGUCUGUACUUGAUUGUUUUCUUCAUAGGGUAAUAAUAUUUUAGAAACUGAUCUUGGUUACUAUAAAUAUUUAAUUAAAAUAAACAAUUUUUAGUAGAUUGGAAGGUUUAUAAUUGUUUGAUGUAAAUAAUUAGUGUUUGUUAAAUCAUAAAUGACAAAGAUGGCGAAAAAAAUACUUUGUUGCCGUUCAAGAUAUUUUGUGAUGCAUAAAUAAGUUAUCUUAAAGAAAUUUGAUAUGACUUGAACAAAUGUUGUUCGAUUGAGAAAAUGGGAAUUGCAUUCUAUUUCUUCUUUCACUCUUGAUGUAAAUGUCAUCCCUUGUGACGAUCAGUUUCAAGUUUGCUAUUUUUAUUUAUGGUAGAUGAAUAAAACUGCUAUAGAAACUAUUGCAAACAAAAUAAAUUUGGGGAACGAAGCUUUAUAUGCUACACCAUUGACUAUCAAAUAAAUACACUUCGAUCGAGCAUCGGAGAAAAUAUCUCUAUCUGUUUUAGAUGCAAUAUGAAUUUUUAUCAAGCUUGAUUUUGUUAUUGUAAUAUACCUCAAGAAAAGUAAAUGUAACUGUGUCAAUUUUUAUGCUUGGCUGCAGAAGAUAAGAAAAUAUGAACAGUCGUCAGAAAUCUUCACAGCGACUUUAGAAUGGACCUGAUCACGUGAAAAAAGCACUCCUAUGACUUAUAGUUGUUUGUACACUUUUAGUGAAGAAUCAAGCGAUGAAAUUUUUUGAUUCCGAAGAAAAUAAGUCUUAAAAAAUUAUGACUCCUAAAGCUUCAUCAACAAGAAUGUAAAAAUGAAAAAUUAAAUUGAACUUCCUAAAGAUUAUGACUUAUAAAGCUUAAUCGACAAGAAUGUAAAAAUGAAAAAUUAAACUGAAUUUCCUAAAUCAAAAACUUUUAAGACUUAUUUUCUUCAGAACAAAAAAUUUCUUCGCUUGUUUCUUCACUAAAAGUGUACAUAUAACUAUAAAUCCUACGAGUGUUUUUUUCACAUGAUCAGGUUCAUUCUAAAGUCGCUAUGAAGCUUUCUGACAACUAUUGAUAUUUUCUUAUCUUCUGCAGUCAAGAAUAAAAAUUGAGAAGAUAAACUUAUUUUUCUUAAGUUAUAUUACAAUAACAAAAUCAAGUCUGAUAAAAAUUCAUACUGCACCUGAAACAUAUGGAAAUAUUUUCUCCAAUGCCCGAUUGAAGUGUAUUUGAUGGUCAAUAGUGCAGCAUAUAAAACUUCGUUCCCCGAAUUUAUUUGUCCACAAUAGCUUCCAUAACAGUUUUAUUCAUCUAGCAAAAAUAAAAGUAGCAAAGUUAGUGACUGAUCAUCACAAGGGAUGAACAUUUAUGUGACGAGAGAAGAAAUAGAAUGCAACUCCCAUUUUCUCACUAGGACAUUCAUUCAAGUCUUCUUUAGGAUGACUUUUUUAUGCUUCACAAAAUAUUAACAAAGCAUUUUUUCGUCAUCUUUGUUAUUUAUGCUUUAACUAACACUAAUUACCCAUAUCAAAUAAUUAUGAACCUUCCAAUCUACUAAAAACUAUUUAUUUUAAUUAAAUAUUAAUAAUAAUCAAGACCAUUUUUGCUAAAAUAUUGUUACUCUAUAAAGAAACAAUCAAGUAUGGACAAACUAGAGCAAUAAGUCAGCUCCACUGAAAUUUUUACAAGUACUGUCACUUCUAAUUGCCAUCAACUCCACGUUGGCAUCUAUUGGCUUCUUCCUACCAAUAGCUAUCAAGAUUAAACCACACUCAUCUAGACUAGGAAGAGGGACAUAUAGAGGCUUCCAGAAACGGACCUAGAAAGCUUUUUCGGUGCGGACAAAAUUAUAAAAUUUACAAAAAAAAAAAUAAUCGCAUUAUAACCUAGUACACAAACAUUAUACUUAAAAUGAAAUACCUUAAAAUUACUCUUUACGAGUUCUCAUACUUUGAUAUUUUUGUAAAAUCACUUCAUUAUCAAUCUUCAAGAAUACAUCUUUCUCUACGUAAACGAUAAGACUAUCAUUCGUCCACUCAUUUCCAAUCCAAUUGCGUAAUCUACUCCGCUUCUCCAAUUCACUACACUUACAUAAUUCUAUUUUAUAGGUUCUCCAAGCCACAAAUGACAAACCCCUCCAAUGAUCCAACAAUACACUAAGAGGGUGUUUGGGAGCCAUUUUUAUGUAAAAAUGCAUUUUAGAAUAGUAAAUUGAUAAGAAAUGCAUGCAUUAAAAAUAAAGAAAAAUUUUUUAUUUACGUGUAAUAUUAUUUUAAUGAAGAAUGUGUGAUUGAAAAAAGAGAGAAAUGCAUUUUGAAAAAAUGGGUACCAAACGAGGCCUAAUAUGUACAAACUUGCUACCUGUGGUAUGAAAAAAUACAAGAUUGAAAAGUUAACUAACAAAGAGUCAAAUUAUCAAAAUGUGGAUGAAAAAUAUUAAAGUCCUAAAUUAUAGUUUAGACCCUAAAAUCCAAUUUCAAUCUUUACCAAGAAAUUAAGUGAUAUAUAAAAUGAAUUAGAGAAUCUGUAAAAUAGAAGAAAACCAAAACAAAUUGCAUCUCUCAAUUCUCAUUGAUAUGUGAAAUAAAAUGAGUUGCAGACAUAAAGAAUAAAGAUACAACCAUACAAGAACUUGAGAAAUUGGAAGCAAGCAGUCAUCGUCCCGUCGAAGACUUGAAGCAGGCAGUUGUCGUCGCGCGACUCGCGUUGGGUCUAAGGCUUGAAGCCAGCAGUAACCAACAGGGGCAAUAUUCUACGAUUUCUUCUUCUCGACUUUUACCACCAUUUAAGGCUCAAGCCUCCUCCUCAAUCAUAUGGGUAAUGUUGUAGCUUGUAAUUGGCCCAUUUCAAUUUUAUUUUAUUUUUAUUUUAACAUGGGCCUGGGCUGCCAUGCAUAAUUCGUAGCAGCCCAAAGUCCAGUGCAGGCAUCUGCCUCACUGGGCCUUCAUUAUCACCACUGUAUAUCGACAUAACCCCCUUUAUAUAGGGUUUCAAAAAUCAUAACUAAGUAAAGAAAUGUUAUAAAAGUUAUUAAAUCACACUCUAAUCAUGUUUCCUAAAAUACAAAUCAAAAUAGGAAACUUAAUAAACAAUCAUCUCCUGUAAUAUUGCAUCAUUUCUCCUCAACUGAGAGAAUCUUAAACCUUGACCAAAAGCCGAUAUUGAACCAUGAACAACAUCCCAAUGUUGAACUUAGACCAAGGGGGACGAUCUUUCUUGUGAAUCAAAUAUCUAAACUGAUUACUUAAGAACAAUUGAAACUGCAAAUCCUCUCAACAACUAUAAUAGAUCAAAGGGCUAUGAUCUUUGCUUCUGAAAAAAUAGCGACAUGGAACUCCAAAAAGCGAAAAUCUACACAACUCAUCUAUAAAAUAUCCAAUUGAUAGUAAAUAAUGAGGAGCACAAAGAUUUAGUGUUGAACCAUUUUAGCACUUUUCUACAAAAUCGUGUGUUUAGCAAUUAAUUGAGGGGGAGAUCACAUAGAAGAGUAAAUCAGAAACCGAAAGGAAAUGAGGGAACCAAAAACAAUAAGAGAAAGGAAAAACGAUGCCUCUAGAGUAUAGACAAAUGCCUUCCUAAGAUAAGUUCAGAUAAUUAAUAUUACAAGAAAGGAGAUUUUGCUAGAAGGUGUCAAGCUGCAAAACCUAUUUACACAGGAUACAUACCAACAUGACAGAAGAGUUCCAAUAAGACAUCAAAUCUAUAUCUAAAAACAAGGAAGCUACAGAAUUCCAAAGCAAAGAUAGACCAAAACCUAGCCCAUGAAAAAAUAUACCACUUACAACAGUUGAAAGACAAAUGACCAAAUCAACAUCAAUGUCCAUCCAUGACCAGGAAAAAAAUAGAUUGAACCGCAAAACCAACAAACAAUACACAUUAAUUAAAGAACUAGGCGAUAUGUAAAAAAUAACCAAAUAAACAAAAUCCAAUUUGAUAACAAUGCAGGAGAACAAAGGUACGAAAUAAAAGGGCAAGCAUAUAGCAUCGAUAUACAUUCACAAUUUUCAUAUUCAUUUAAUGUUAGGUUGCAAUGUUACCUCAAAAUCAGCCAUUGUCAUGCCGAGCCUUCUAUUUCUUCACACGAUCAAGGUUGUCUCCACCAUUCUUCAACAAACUCCCCUUAUACAGGUUCUGUAGAAACCUGAUACUUUCGUUGGCCUAUUAUCCAAUUCAUUUGCUAGAUUGCCAGCUUUGUCCAUAAGUGCUGCCAAGUCAGCUCCAACAAUCUCUGCAGUGGACUAAGCUAUAUUCAUAAGAUCAAAAGCUAAAUCUCAUGGUCAAAUCAUCCAAGCCUCAUCAAUGCAGGAUUAAUAGAAUCAGGCCUAUUUGUUGCUCCAAUAACGAGUACAUACACAGAUAUGCAAUCAGAAUUCUCUAAAGUUCCACUUUCAUUUAUAGGUUUGACAAUUCUCGAUGACUUAUCCAUGCACGACAUUAGUAUUGUGACAAUUUGUUGCUCCAUUACGUUACUGGAAAUUUACCAUUUAGUUGCAAUCGCAUCUAUUUCAUCUAUGAAUACAAUGGAUGGGGCUGUCCUUGUGAGCUAUAGAAAAUAGCUCUCUAAUAUCUUCUUCUGAUGUCGCUGAAACAUUCAACAAAUAAAACAUCUUAGCAAGCUUGAAAAAUAUGUAAAUAAGGGCAGGAACAAAACCAAGUUCAUGAUUGAAACCCCACACAUAAUAGACAAAAAAGGGAAAUUAGUCCAAUUGUUAAACUAGCAGCAACUAGCAGCAAAUAGGUGGACAAGAUAAAAAAUAGAAAAUAAAAAUAAAAUAAAAUAAAGAAAUGACACGCAUAGGUCUAUUUACCCUGUCAUCACUAUAAGUGAAAACACAAUUAGAUAUCUAAAAGAUUUAUGAUUAAAAAUUCGUCAUCAAAAAAACAAAGAGCAACAAAAAACAAUUACACCUGAAACUCCAUACACCAAUUCAAUAGCACAGAUCUUAUAAAAGGGAACAUUGGCCUCAUUGGCAAUGGCAUUUGGUUUUGGUUUUCCCACACUGGGCCAUGCAACAAGAUCCCUGAUAUUGGUCACACACCAAGGUUUCGUGGCAGAUAGAGAUGGUAAAAUGGCCCAAUCACCUCCAUUUUCAAGUCCUCCAACAUUUCACUCAUCCCGCCCCAAAUCGUUGAACGAUGAAUUUUUUUUUCCUUCAAUUUUUAGGAUGAUGCUAUCUUCUGAGACUCUGCCAUCGUAAUGUGCACUUAUCAAUCUUUUUCAGUUCUGCAACAUUGCACAUUCAGUUUGGAAAAUACAUCACAACACUACAUUUAAACAGAUCAUACAGUAGAAUAGUAGCACAAAUUUGUUCCAUGAAAUCUAUCUUGUGACCAUAAUCUGAAAGUGAUUACAAUCUAUCAGAAGUGUGCUCAAAGUACAAAACAGUAUUUAUUCAUAAAUGGACCGAAUUCACUUGUAUUUUGUAACAUGACAAUUUGGCUGCAUAUUUAGUGAGACCAGCUCCCAACACGUCCUUUCUCUUAUUAAAUAUCUGCUCCAGUUAAUUAUGAGUUUAUGACCUUGUUUUCACACCUCAGUCAGGACAUUUUGGAAGAAGUAGAAAUGUAAAAAUUGUUUACAUCACAACUUCAUGGGACAGAGUUGCAGAUCAUAUCAAAUUGACACACUCCGGGCAGAUUUUUUAGCAAAACAUAACAAUGCCAUAACAUUUUUGGUACUGUAAGAGGAGUGCCACACAAACACACAAGUACGUACACAUUAGCCCCAAUCUCUGAACUAAUCAAAACUCCAGGUAUCAAAAUUCAAAAACUAACUACACGAGUUAUCUAGAGAGAGAGAGAAAAGAAAGAAAGAAUAUAAAACAAGGAAGUCAAGAAAAUAUUGAGAAGAAUACUAGAUUUUCACUGUAUAUCUUCUUAUUACAGUCCAAUUUGAAGUAAACAAACUGCAAUUUAAGCUUUACGCCAAACAGCAACAAUAUGAAUGUUACUUAAUUGAACGAAGUUAAUAGAAAGCUUCAUUUACUAAAUAGUGAAAUAAAUUGAAAAUUAAUUACAGAUAUGAGCAAAAAAUCAGCCCGACCUUCAGAAUAAAUUCAGGCAUCUCGUUAUUCAUGCAAAUUUUCUUGAGUAAACGGCAAAAAUAUAAAACAUUUGACGGAAGAUGACCGUAGAGUAGAGAAACGAGUUGCAGGACUGCCGGCAGAGAGAGAAAUGGCACCACGUCUAAUGAAAUGGUAGGGUUUAUACAAGCGGGGUGGUCUUUAAUAUGAUCGACAUGUGUCUAGUCCAGAUGCUAGUUCUUGGGCUUUCUAUUUUUCAGCCCACUUUCUCUAAGCAGGAACUGGCCCGUCUGCCGCCUGGCGGUCCGUCCCGUAAUGUAGGAAACUAGAUCCCAUUUGCCCUAGAUUUGAGAAGGUUAAAUUUUAGAACCUUAACCUGGAAAUUUGAAAUUUACAGCCUUCUAAACUUUCUCUGGGGCCAAAACUGUAAAAUCAUUUGCUACAGAACCCCUAUGGAAAUCCGGAUAAGAUAAAGAUAGAAGUUAAAUAAAAUUUGAUAGAGAAUUUAAUUUCAAUUAUAAGCGUUUUAAUUAAAUUAUUUUUGUUCGUUUAUUCUAAUAAAAUUCUAGAUUAGAAGAAUUUCGUUUGAUUUAACCAAACCCAUAGACCCCUAAACCAUUAUCUAGGCCUAAACUCACAAAUAACAACUACAGGCCGAUAUACAUAAACCCUAGCCACCAAACCUUCUUACAACAAAAUAAUUCAGUGGAAAAAUUCAUAAUUAAGAAAUUAAGUAUCGCCAAUUUCAAAAUUAAAAAUAAAAGUUUUAAAUUUCAAAAAUAAGAUAUUUAUUAAAAUUUAUUUAUAGUUUAAUUAAUUAAUUAUAUAUUUUAUUAAUUAAAUAUAUUAAGGUUGCGGAUCUAUACAAUUUGAUCGUAAAUUAAUGAUUUAAUUAGUCAUAUAUUAUUUUUCAAUCACAAAUCAAAAUUUUUAUAUGUCACGGAUUAUUUUACAAUUAGAAUUCAAAAAUUUUACAGGUCACAUUUAUUCAACAAUCACAAUUCAAAAAUUAUAAGUCACGACUUAUUAUACAGUCACAAAUUAACAUUUUUUUAAGUCCCACAUUAUUUAUUGAUCACAAUUUAUCUUUUUCACUAGUUACAUAUUAUUUAUUGGUCACGGAUUAAACCAAUUUAAUGAUUACAAUCAAUUAAAUAAUUUGUGACCACCACCAACACUUGUGAUCACUAUCUCACCAUUGCCUUCAGUGGCACCACCACCAUCGUCAUUUUUGGAACCACUAUCACAACCUCAAACAAAUCAACCCAUCACAGAAACACGAUCACACUGGCAUGCCAAUUCCACCACCAUUUUAUAUUUAUUACAGUCACCACCACAACCACAGAUUAAGACAUCUCUCAUAAUCUACCUGCACACCUAGAGUGUGACCACCACCCCUAAUGCCAACAUUGUUUGUGACACUACCAUAUCCACCACCUCCAUCACAAGAUCCACCAACAAAAAUCACCUCAAAAUCCCACCAAAACAUGGAAAACUACUGUCACAAUACACACAAGAGGUAAUUUUCAUUCAUACGGUCAAUAGGUUGGUUACAAAGUUUAUAUAGGAAAAAAAACUCCUAAUUUUGGAUAAUCACAAAUCUGUAGCUAAUUAAAUGAUUCUACACAUAAUUGCCUAAUUCUAUUACCUUAAAAUGAUACAAUUAUAUAUGAUUUAUGUUUCCAGAAAAAGAUUUCUAACAGCUCACGCCAACACUCCCCCUCAAGUUGAUGCAUACAGGUCUCUGAUACCCAACUUGUCAAAUGAGUUGUGAAAGUCCUUGUUUGAAACUGACUUUGUGAGUAUGUCUGCUAGUUGAUCCUCAGACUUUACGAACGGGAAACGAAUUGUCUUUGCUACCAAGUUUUUCUUGAUGAAGUGUCGAUCUAUUUCCACAUGUUUUGUUAUAUCAUGUUGAACCGGGUCAUGAGAUAUGGCAAUGGCAGCUUUGUUGUCGCAGUAUAAAUCCAUCUCAGUAAUAGGAGCAAAGCCAAGUUCAGUGAGCAGUUUUCUGAUCCAGAAGAGUUCACAAAGUCCUUUUGCCAUUCCACGAAACUUUGCUUCAGCACUCGAUAAUGAUACCACUUUUUGCUUCUUACUUCUCCAUGUAACGAGAUUACCGCCUACAAACACGAAGUAGCCUGAGGUAGACCUCCUAUCUGAAAUGUUCCCCACCGAAUCGGCAUCUGUAUAGCCAUCAACUUUCAAGUGAUCAUUCUUUGAAAACAUCAGUCCCCUCCCUGGUGAGGACUUUAGAUAUCGAAGUAUUCGAGUCACAACAUCCAUAUGGUCUUUGCUAGGGCUAUGCAUAAACUGGCUAACUACACUUACGGCAUAGGCAAUAGAUGGACGAGUAUGAGACAAGUAUAUAAGUUUGCCAACUAAUUUUUGAUAUCUCCCUUUAUCCGUUGGCACUUGAUUUGAACACUCACUCAGCUUAAGGUUUUGAGUGAUAGGAGUAUCUGCUGGUUUACAUUCCAACAUCCCCACCUCAGCCAACAAGUCUAGCACAUAUUUUCUUUGGGAUAUGAAUAUGCCUUGUCUUGAUCUAACCACUUCAAUUCCCAGGAAAUACUUGAGACCUCCCAAGUUCUUUAUCUCGAACUCAGACGUCAGCUGUUUUUGAAUUCUGGAUAUCUCCUCUUUAUCAUCCCCUGUGAUAAUCACGCCAUCCACAUAUACUAUCAAUGCAGUUACUUUGCCUCCAUUAUGCUUAAGAAAGGGUGUAUAGUCUGAGUCACUCUGUUUGAACCUAUAUUUCUUCAUUGCCACACUAAAUCGUCCAAACCAUGCUCGAGGUGACUGCUUCAAGCCAUAUAAUGCUUGCUGCAAUUUACACGCGACAUUUUGUGAAGACCUUGUAUAGCCCGGAGGGAGGUCCAUAUAGACUUCUUCUUCGAGGUCGCCAUGAAUAAAUGCAUUCUUCACAUCAAGCUGAUGUAGUAGCCAGUCAAGAUUAGCAGCGAGGGACAAUAGUAUUCUAACAGUGUUUAGUUUAGCAACUAGUGAAAACGUCUCUUAGUAGUCUAUCCUAUAUGUCUGUGUAUACCCCUUCGCAACUAGACUUGCUUUGUACCGCUCAAUGGAUCCAUCUGCCUUGUGUUUGAUGGAAAAUACCCAUCUGCAUCCUACUGUCUUCUUUCCUUCAGGUAAUGGAACUAGUAUCCACGUGUUAUUAUUUACUAGUGCCUCUAUCUCAUCUUUUAUUGCCUGAGUCCAUUUGGAAUCUGAUAAGGCAUCCCGAAUUCCUAUUGGAACAUGAUUAGAAGAGAGAACAUGUACAAAAGCUUUCAGUGGAUCAGAUAACUUCGUGGUGGAUACAUAGUUGGCAACUGGAUAUCUUGAUCUUUGUUUUUCAAUGUCUGGAGAGUAUCUACUUGGCGGUUUGCCUCGAUUAUGCCUGAAAGGUAAAUUAUAGCCACCAGGAGUAUCUAAAUUGCUUAUAUGUGAAGGAGUGCUUACCUCAGAGAUAUUCUCAGGAGAUGGGCCUACGGAUACUGAAGAGAAAGGAGGCUCUGGUUCGGUGGAGUUUGGUUCAGUUUCUACAGUUGGUUCCGGAUCUUGAGUCAUAUCAUUCCUUAAGUCAAUAUCUAUCGGAGUUGUCUCUAUCUCAGUAUUUUUUGACCACUCAAACUUCGACCAAUUCAACUCUUCAUCCCUUGUCUCCCCCUGAAGAGGAGAAUUGGAUGUUGGAGAAAAAAAUGUGUCAGACUCCGAGAAGGUAACAUCCAUAGUUACAUAGGUCUGUUUGGAGGAUGGAUCAUAACACCGAUAACCCUUUUGAUGUGUAGCAUAUCCUACAAAAAGACAUCGGAGAGCACAUGGGUCAAGUUUUGUCCGUUGAUUCUUGUGAAGAUGUACAUAGGCCACACAAUCAAAUACUCGAGGAGAGAGCAUUAGAGUUGGUGGUAGAGCAACAUGGGAUGAUAGGACCUGGAGUGGAGUCUUAAAAUUUAAGACUUUAGAGGGCAUCCGAUUGAGUAAGUAUACAGUUGUGGACACUGCAUCAGGCCAGUAACAGUUUGGAAUAUAGGUUCCAUGAAGGAGAGCUCUUGCAGUUUCAAGAAUAUGUCGAUUUUUCCGUUCAGUAACGUCGUUUUGUUGAGGGGUUUGAGGGCAAGACGUAUCAUGAAUGAGACCGUGUUGUUCAAAGUAAGUGCGAAACCGUUGGUUGAUAAAUUCACCACCAUUAUCGGAACGAAGAACUCUUAGUUUGGCAGAGAACUGAGUUUGAAAUCAUGGCAUCGAAUGACUGAAAUACUUUGAACACUUCAUCUUUAUUUUUUAAUAGAUAGGGUCAGGUCAUGCGAGUGCAGUCAUCAAUAAAUGUAACAAACCAAUGAACCCCAAACCUUGUAGCACUAGGUGAAGGGCCCCAUACAUCAGAAUGGACUAGGGAAAAAGGAAUACUACUUUUAUUCAUGCUUGAUUGAUAAGAAGUGCGUUGACUUUUCGCUAAAAUGCGGGUAUUACAUUUAUUCGAAAAAAUGCUAGGUAAUAAAUGCUCUAAAUAACCGAAUGAUGGAUGCCCAAGACGAAGAUGCCACAUCCAAAUCUGUCGUUCAUUCACAUUACUCUGAACAUGAUGAGUGCGACCGACACUGAAAUCCUCCAUGUAGUAUAACCCCUCUCUCUUAGUACCACGCCUAAGUAUCUCCUUGGUGAGAAUAUCCUGAAGAAGACAAAAGGUUGGAUAAAUAAGUACCACGCAAUUUAAUUCAGCCGUCACUUGGCUUACAGACAAUAAUUUAUGUGAGAGUGAUGGAACAAGUAAAGUGUGAGAUAAAUGUAGAGAGGGAGACAGAGAUACAGAGCCAGCCCGGUGAUUGGGGAAAUAACUCCAUUUGCAUUCGCAACCCUGCUGGGUCGAGGUGAGGUCCUCUGAAUAAAAUCUCUUUCAUCUUGAUUCAUAUGGUCAGUUGCCCCGGAGUCAAAUAACCAUAAAUUAUUAUUCUUGUCACUGGAGGAUGUAACACAAGCUAAACCAAAAUUACCUGGUUCUGAUGAAGGGUCCGUAUCCUGAAAAUAAUCAUUUUCAGGAAUCAAAGAUAGUUGAGAGUCAGAUGUUGCCACGGCCGCCUUGCCUAUUCGCUUAUUGGUGCCCGUCCCAUUUUUGUUCUUUUUUUCCUGCAACUCAUACCACCAAUCGAGGUAUCCAUUAAGUUUAAAGCAGUUUUCUCGUGUGUGCUUGUUAUUUCCACAGUAUGAACGCUUAAUUUCCUCAUCCAAACCCUUUAACUUAUUUGGCCUACUUUUAUUUGGGCCUCCACCACUUUUAUUUGGGUCUCCCUUUAAAGAAUUUAUUCCAGCAACAGCAAAUGAUCCCAUCUUCACGCCUUUGGUUGCUAAGAUCACUCCAGGAAGACCAUUGUCGGAGUCUAUAAAAACCAUGACUGCUUGUCGCAGUGCCUCACGGCGGACGUACACAUACGCCUGCUCAACGGUAGGAAACGGGUCCAUCUGCAAAACUUCACUACGGAUGCUAUCGAGACGUUCAUCGAGCCCAUCAAAGAAGGUGUAAACUCUAUCUUCCUGGGUCAAAUUAUUGAAGUGGCGGAUGUCAGUGGCACACUUCAUCGAAUUUGGGCGACGAAAGUCAAUUUCGUGCCACAACCCCUGCAGUUCAGUGUAAUAUUUCUCCACAGAUCCGCCUGCUUGUCUUAGGCGACUCACCCUUCGUCGAAGAUCAUAGACUUGGGAUUUAUCAUUCCCAUCAAAGUAUGUAGUGGCAAUAGCAUCCCAGACUUCCUUAGCAGUGUGGAAACGAAUGAAAUUGCCAAUCAAAACAGGGUCCAACGAAUUGAUAAUCCAUCCCUUGACAAUGGCAUUCUCAGUUCGCCAUUUUCAGAAGGAGGGAUCAGUCGGUAGGGGUGGAGGUGUAUCUCCAUUAAUGUAACCCAGUUUAUCUUUCCCGGAAAUAUACAUUUCCAUAACCUGGGACCAUAGGGCAUAGUUUGUAUCAUUCAGUUUGAUACCAAUCUGGGGCGAAUUUUUAGUGAGUGGGGCUGAUAUGUGUGUCUUGGUUAAGGCUUCAGAAAUUUUGGUGAAAAUAUCUGUAAGUAGAGCAUCAGAAUUAGGUGAAGAUUGGCUGGGAUCGGUGAUGAAGUUGGGGUCUUCCAUGUGUUUAUGAAAAUGUACACAAGAACCGGGCUACAGGUAACUCGGAGAAGAGGAACCAGGACCGUGUGUCCUACUCUGAUACCAUGUCACAAUACACACAAGAGGUAAUUUUCAUUCAUACGGUCAAUAGGUGGGUUACAGAGUUUAUAUAAGAAAAAACCUCAUAAUUUUGGAUAAUCACAAAUCUGUAGCUAAUUAAUUGAUUCUACACAUAAUUGUCUAAUUCUAUUCCCUUAAAUGAUACAAUUAUAUAUGAUUUAUGUUUUCGGAAAAAGAUUUCUAACAGCUUACGCCAACAACUACCACCUACCAAACAACACAACACUACCAGCACUGCACACAACGAUAUCACUACACCAUACAUCCGAACACCACCGCUUCGUCAUCACCACGCUACUGCAGUCGCGAUCCGUGCCAUCACCAUGCCGCUACAACCACGAUCUGCAAAGCCUCCAGUGGCGCUGAAAAUGUGGAAAUAAGGGUGACAAUGCCAAAAAAAAAUGAAAGAUAAUGAAGUUUUUCAUAAUAAUAGUGAAAAAGUAAGGACGUUAAAAAUAGUGUCAUGGGAAAAACAUCAAGAAAAAGGAAAGGAGACAAGAAAAGAAAUUGGGAAAAGAGAAAUGUGCACGUUGUCCUUUCAACAUUUACAUCGAGCUAGUUUAAGCGGUUCUUAAACCUGCAAAAUUGCAUUUCUUGCCGCGAAGAAGCUCUAGUGAGCAACAUGAAAAAAAGUUUCAUCUUUAAGUUGAAUGUGUCUCAAAUUAAUCCACAAUCUGAAGUUCGGAGAAUUUGUAUAUCCCAAGUUGCGGAGAAUUUGUAUAUCCCAAGUUGGCCAACUUCCUAUUUUUCUUUUUUUUCCAAUCCACCACUUUUUAAAAUCACGGGUACCCUGGAUUGCGGAACAUGUGGAUUGGAAAGACCUUUGCAUCUUCUUGUUUAAGUUAAUUUUAGUUAAAUUUCUUCAAAUGUUCCAUCAUUAUAAACUCGGGCGAUAAUAAAUUCAAGUGAUCGUUUCUAGCAAAAUUCUAACAUUGGCAAUUCAAUCGAUUUUAUCUUACUGUUAAGAUGAUCCAAGUGCGCUGAUUUCAUUUGAAGUGAACAUACAUAUGAAACACGUUAUUUGUAUGUGUAUAAGAUAAUAUUGUUGUUGUUCAAUUAUGGAUAUGACGUAUUUCAAAAAAGUGUUUAAUCCGUUCAGGUUUAGAACAUUUAAUAUCGAGGAUAUUGAAUGAGUGUUAUGCUCCUUGGCUUGCAUCCUUUCUUUUGGACACACGAUCUUUAAAGAUCUGUCUGCCAUACAGUGGGAUAUUGUGUACAAUAUAAUAAAUAACAGGGAAAAUUUACAAAAUACACAUGUAUAUAGGGUGUUAUUGUACUUUGUAUAUUGUUUUAUAUAAAUUUAUAUCUUACAUAUUACAUAACGCUUACCCCAAAAAAAAAAAAAUUAUAUAUAUAUAUAUAUAUAUAUAUAUAAAAUCACACCCUAUGGAUUAUAUUAUGUAACGUUCAGCAUAUUAUAAGUUUAACUAUUAUUUUUUAGUUAAAUACUUUUUCUUCUUUUUUUUAUAAGAUUUAUUAUUUUUCUUUUCCUGAACUAUAGCAUCACAAUAAAAAAUAAUUUUAGUUAAGUUCUUGUAAUAUUGGAAGAUUAGAUAAUAAGUCAUUGGACUCUUCCAACAUUGUAAAAACAAAUAAAACUUCCUAUAACAAAAUACGUUCAAUCAAUGAAAAUUGAUAUAAUCCAUUAAAAUAAUUUUUAAGAUUAGAUGUUAUUUUGCAGCUAAAUUUAAUUUUAAUUUGGAGUGAUUUGCAACUCAAAAAUUGUUAAAAAUACAUGCGUCAUUUUAUUGGUUGCGGAUGAAUUUUUUUUUCCUGUGAGAAAAUUUUGUAGAAUAGAAUAAUUUCUUAAUAUACUUAAUAAAAAUAUAUAAUCUGUGCAAAAAUGAAAAUACAAAAUUAUUCUGUGCAGCAAGAAAAUUCAAUUAAUGUAAAUUUAUGAAGGAAUAGAUAAAUGAGAAGGGGAAAAAAAUUAGAUAGAAUUGAAAUAGUAAUUGAACAUUUUCAAAAAUAAAAAUAUAGUUUAAGUAAUUGGUCUGUCAAAUUUUAUGAAAUGGAAUACAAAAAGAUGUGAUUUUUUUUUUUUAAUUAUGAAUAUUUUGGCCUAUUUAGCUAUUUUAAAUGGCGAGAGUUGUGAAAUUUAUAGCAAAAGUUUCUUUUUGUUUUGAAAUAAAAAAGUUUAUUAUAUUCAUCACAUUUUGAUUGCAAUGGAUGUCUUCAAUUUUUGUAUUUUUAAUUUUUGUCACAUUUUUAUUGUUUGUCCAAAUUUGCCAUCAACAUGCAUUGAAUUGAGGGACAAUAUUCUUUUAAGCUUUGUGUUUUUGUUUUUUUAUUUUGCUCAUUUGAAAAUGCAAGAGGUAUAUAUGUCCCUUCACGCAAUCUAAAAAAAAAUUUUUUUUUGGACGAAAUCCAUAUUCAAAGACGAGAUGAAAACUAAUAGAAGUGUGAGGGUGAGACUACAAUGAAAACGGUAAUUGAUACAAAACAUCAUUACCUUUCAGUGUUAGUGUGCAAAAGAUUCAUUUAUUCCUUUCAUUUUUAUUUUAUUUUAUUUAUUUUUACCCUACUUUCAUAUUUCAUUGCGAAAAAUGAUAUUUUAUCCAAUUUCUCAACAAAAAAUGUAAAAUUACAAAUAUACCACCUAUUUAAAUAACAAAAAAAUAGAAAAGAAAAAUUAAAAAACAAAUUGAAAUUAUACUCCCAAACUUUUAACAAAACUGCAAAUGAGCCUAAAUAAAUUAGUAAAAAGGUAAUUAGCACAAAACGUUCAUACUUUUCCAUAUUAUUGUAAAAAAACGUUCAUGCCUUUCUUUCUUUUUUCUUUUUUUUUUGUAUUUUAAUCCUUAUUUUCCAGUUAAAUUAUGAAAAUCAUCAUUUUCAUUCAUGUUCUCAAUUAAAAUAUGUAAAAUGACGAAUAUACACUCCUAUUUAAAUGAAAAAAAAAAUAAAAGAAUAGAUUACAACUAUACUCCCAGUUUUUUCAAAAAAAAAAUACAAGUAAAUUCUAAAUAAAUAAUUAAAAAGAGGGUGAUUUUUUAUUUUAAAUAAUUUAGUUGUACUUUUUGAAGAAUUUGGAAGUAUAGUUACAAUUUGUUCUUUAUUUUUAUUUUUUAAAUAGGAGGGUAAAUUUGUUAUUUUACAGCUUUUAAUUGAGAAAUAAAUGAAAAUGAUGAUUUCCGUAAUAAAAUGUGAAAAUAAGGGUGAAAAUACCAAAAAAUGAAAGGUAUGAACGUUUUGCAUGAUAAUAUUGAAAGAUAAGGACCUUUUGUGCUAAUUACCAUUUUAAUGAUUUAUUUUGAUUCAUUUGCAAUUUUUUAAAAAGUUUUGGAGUAUAAUUGCAAUUUAUUUUUUAUUUAAAUAGUAGGGUAUAUUUGUUAUUUUAUAAUUUUUUUUUUGAGAAUUUAGAUGAAUGACUUUUUUUGCAAUGAAAGGUGAAAAUGUAAAAAAAUAAAAUAAAAAAAUGUAUGGACGUUUUGUAUAAUAAUAUUAGCUCUUGCUAGACGAUCAGGGCCACAUAAAUUAAUUCCAAUAACAUUGAAAGAUAAUGUCAUUUUGAAUGAAAAAGCUUAAGAUAUAGGUGUAAAAUAUAAAUUUGAUUGUUCUACAUGUAUAUGUAUGUGGUAAGGUAUAAUUGGUUUAGAAUUUAUUCAAUAAAAAAAAUUUCAACUUACUUUUUGACACCUCAUCUGUAUAUAAAUCAUUAUAUAACUCCUUAUGAACAAUUAGCACUAUUUAUAAAUUAGAGAACGAUUUGUGCUACAUGUACAUAAUGAUUUAUAUACACAUAAUAUGAUGAAAUAUGAUUGGGUUAAAAAAAUUUCAUCCAAAUAAAAAAAACUUUUUAAUUCUCUUUUUAACACAUCAUCUGUAUGUAAACUAUUAUUGUAAUACCCCAAACUUCCUGUUAUAUAUUUGGCCAAUAUGAUUCAUACAUUUCAUGCUAUUCACAAUGUUACUUGCAUUAGUUUUCUUAAUUACUUUAUCUUAAAAUGGUGCAUUAGAUUAUUGAUAUUUUAAGAUUUUAAUCUUCGACUCCUAGACCUAGGUGUUGAAUUUUGUAUUGAGCUAUGAUAGAAAAUUAGGUUAACUAAAUGUUGGAGAUUGGCUUGAUAAGAAAUGGAAUAUUGAAAAGGUCGGAAAUCGGUAUCGACAAAAGUUCAAGCUUUCUAUUCGGUUGAUCGAGACUACCUUAAACCAUAGAUAGGUAAUUGACAUAUUUGGGACAUGAUACAUAGAGGAAUAUGAUCAUGAUGCGAUAAUAUAUGUCUCAUAUGACAUUAUAAUUAUCGAGGAGCGAUUUGAUGAAAUCGGUCGAGAAUGGGGUGUCAAUCGGGUAAGUAAUUAAAUGAACGAUUGUGGAAUUAGCUCUAUAAAAUAUUUUGGGAUCUUAGGGCAAGUGAAAUGGAUUGUAAACACAUUAACAUAAGCCCAGGAUACUUGAUUUAUACCUGCAAAGAUAGAUAUAAAAUCAGAUUUUUUUUACUAGUGACCACCUCAUGCUUGGGAUAAUUGUUAUUUUAACACUCAAUCCCUUCAUCCUUAAGAUAUAUAGCACAUCUCCUACCUUUUUUUAUUUAAUAUAGAUAGAUAUAUGUAUCUUAUAAAUCAAUAUAAGUUAAAUAGUCCAAGAGAAAAGUCAAAUAUAGUAGGAAAAGACCACCUCAUGCUAAACACUUAGCUGCACCCCACAUUUUCUCAAUCCUUAAGGAAGAGUCACGUUUCCAGCAUCUUGAAGACUUUAUAUACACCUCCUAACAACAUGUUUAGUCUUACCUCAAGGAAACAAUCGUAACUCAAACAGUGUCAAUUAUUAUGUUUGGUUGCUACAAACAAGAAACUAUGAACUUUUGUUAGAAAUCUUCAAAGCUGCUUGAGAAUGGCCUUGAUAUUUGUUUGCCUGGUGUGAGGGAAUUUUUUUUUUUGCUAGAAACGUGCAUGAGAAACAACUUAUUUGCAAUCAGUUAUCUGUACACAUUUAGUGAAGAAUCCAGUGAGGAAAUUUUGUGAUUCUGAAGAAAAGAAGUCUUAAAAGUUUUUGCUUUAGGAUAUUCAAUGUAAUUUUCCAUUUUUACAUUUUUGUGGUUGUGGAUGAAGCUUUAGAAGUUAUGGUAAGGUUGUCCACUGUAUUAUGUAUGUCGAAAGUCAUCAAUGGAGUGUUCAAUUCUUUUAAGCUCCUGUUAUCAAUUAGCAAAGCGUACAAGUUUUGUUGAUUAAGGAAAUGGUGAUAAGUUUCCUGGUGAUAUGCUGUAGAAUAUGGGAGCCAAAAACUGGAAACUGUUGCUUCUCCUUUGCAACUUGUUUAACUAACUAGUAGGAUUAUUUUGAAUGUCAUAUUAGCAUUUUUAAUGUUGAUAUGAGUUUAGUGUUUAAAGAAGAAACGAUUCAAUUAGUUGUAAAAAUAAUCAUUUGAGGUAAGCAAUUUGUGAUGAAAUUGAAUGGUUCAAUAUAGUAAUGACAAAAAUGAACAGUUUAACUUUGUGCAAAAGUAGAUAAAAAUUCUCCUUUGAAGGAGAGAAAAGUAAUAAUUGAAAAAAUUAAGUUCAAUCAUAAAGAGAAAAGAAUUUAAAAUAAAUUUAAAUUAAAAAAAUUUAUCUAUAAUACGAACAAAAAAAUUUAAGAAAUAAAUUAAUUAGUAAUUUUCACCAGUAGAAAAAUUAAAAUAAUUUUACAUUGAACAAAUUUAUAUUAAAAAAUUUAAAUAGAAAAAAAUUUGUCCUUUGAAAGAGAUAAAAGCAGUAAUUAAAAAAAUUAAAUUUAAUGAGAAAAAAUAAAAAAAUUUAAAUAGAAAAUAAUUUAUUUAUAAAAUAAAUAAAAAAUUUUAAAAAGAAAAUAAAUUUUCAUUUAUUGAAAGAAGAUACAAGCUUUGCGUGGAUAGAGAUAUGCUCUCUGCCCACGGAGAUGAUUUUUUUCCUUAUUUUUUUAUUUAAAUUUGUUUUGUUCUUAUUAUAAAUUUUUUUAUUUUGGAUUUAAAUUUUUUUAAUUCUUUUCUCUUUAUGAUAAAAUUUAUUUUUUUCAAUUUAAUAUUAAUAUAUUAUUUGUUUCAUUUUUGUAACUCUAAUUUGUUUAAUUUUUUUGUUUAAUUACAUAAAUUUUUUUAAAUUUGUUUUGUUCAUAUUAUAAAUUUCAUUUUCUUUUUAAUUUUUUUUCUCUUUAUAGGUUAGGCACAUUUCCUCUCCUUAAGGAACUACGAAUUGGUGUUACAUGCAUCUUUAAACUACCGAAUAAUUCAACAAUCCUCUUUACAAAUGCAAACAACAACAGAACUGUAAACACUACUAGCUGGACCAAAAAGACUCCAAACAUACCCAAAGCAAACUCUUGUAAGCCUCAUUAAAUAUAACAAAUAAUGAUAAAAAUUUAAACUUCUCAAGUAGAUAAGGGUAAAGAAAGAAAGACAAAACUAACUUUUACACACUAAUAUAUAUAUAUAAAUAAGAAAUAAAUCCACAACAAAGCAAACAUCAAACAAAAAUAUAAAUUUCAUAGCCAUAUCCAAGAAAAAUAAAAUAAAACUUCAAUUAAAUUUUCACGUAUAUACAGAGACAAGAACAUACCUCACAUCUGAAUAAAGGAAGAUGAGCCGAGCUAGUAUUUCAUCUAAACACAAAAAUAAAAACUACAUACCUUAAUAAAUCUUAAAAAACUAAAAAACGGAAAUACAAACAAAAAAGAAAAAAAAUUUGCAAAAACAUACCCAAAGAUAAUCGUUACAAAUUCUGAGAUUUUAUUCCCUACGAUUGAGAUGAGAACUAAGCAAUGUUUCCCCCCACAGAAAUAAACAAUAAUUUGGAGAGUUUUUUUCGUACAUGGAAGCUAAUCGAUUGAAUUGAAGGAGGAAAAAUGAGUGACUUGAAAGAGUGAUAGAUAGUAGAUUAAUUUAUAUUUUUUUAUAAAAUAAUAAAAAAUCAAACCACUUUGACUAAAUCCAUUUCAAAUCAGUUGAAUGUAUCCAUCUUCACCAAUAGAAAAAAUUUUAAAUAUAAAAAAUUUAAUAUCGAAAUUUUUUAAAAUAUAAAUAAAUUCUUCUUUCACGGAGAGAAAAAAAGAAUUGAAAAAAUUAAGUUCAAUCAUAAAUAAAGAGAAAAGAAUUCAUAAAAAUUUUAAAUAGAAAAAAUCAUCUAUAGUAUCAAAAUAAAAAAUUACAAAAUGAAUAAAUAAGGAAAAAAUUUCGAAAACGAAAUUUUUUUUUGCUCCGUGCACGGAGUGAAUAUUCACUCUGUGCAUAGAUUUUUAAAUAAAUAUUUAGCUAUAUUUAACUUUUUUAAAUUAAAUAUUAAUAAAAAGAUUACACUAUCUAGAGUGUAAAAAUUUACUUAUAAGUAAAAAAUUCAUUUCAAGCUAUUUAAAAGUAAUAAAAAAUUUGUAAUUGUAAAAACUAUUUAUAUAUAAUAAAAUAUUAAUUUCAAUAUUUUUAAAUAAAUAUUUAGAUAUAUUUAAUUUUUUAAAAUUAAAUAUUAAUAAAAAUUUUACUAUAAUUAAAAAGAAAAAGAAAACAAAAUAAAAUAAAAUAACUUGCAUUCCAUGCAAUGGAGACACUCCAUGCAAGUUGUCCGUGCACGGUGCACAGAGUGAUAUAUAAGUUUUUUUUUAAUAAACUAAAUAUAUCUAAAUAUUUACUUAAAAAUGUUUAGUUAAUAUUUUUUACCUAUAAGUAGCUUUUACAAUUAUAAAUUUUUUAUUACUUUUAUAUAACUUAAAGUGAUUUUUUACUUAUAAGUAAUUUUUUACAUUUUAGAUAGUAUAAUCUUUUUAUUAAUAUUUAAUUUUAAAAACUAAAUAUAUGUAAAUAUUUAUACUAAAAAAUUUUAAGUUAAUAUUUUUUUACUUAUAAAUAGCUUUUGCAAUUAUAAGAGAAUAAGGUAUUAAUAUUUUUUUACCUAUAAGUAGCUUUUACAAUUAUAAAUUUUUUUAUUACUUUUAAAUUACUUGAAGUGCUUUUUUUACUUGUAAGUAACUUUUUAUAUUCUAGAUAGUGUAAUAUUUAAUUUAUAAAACUAAAUAUAUCUAAAUAUUUAUACUUAAAAAAAUUUUAAGUUAAUAUUUUUUUACUUAUAAGUAACUUUUACAAUUAUAAAUUCGUUUUACAUUUAAAUAAUUUGAAGUGAUCUUUUUAGUUAUAAGUAACUUUUUGCAUUUUAGAAAUAAACAAUAACUUUUAUGUAUAAAAUUAUUUUAAAAAAUAUUAUUACUAAUAAAAUUAUAGAAUAUGGUCGAUAAUUGAUAGCGUGAGAAAAUGAAGAAAAAGUACUGUAUGUCAAAUUCAAAACAUGUAAGCUGAAGGUAAAAUAGAAAACGACGUCGUUUCUACUCUACCAAUUAUAAAAAAAGUUACAGUGUGACAAAAUAUUAUUUAAAAAAAUAUUACUACUAAAUCAGUAAGAUAAUGAGGGAUGAUAUAAUAAAAAAAAACCACUUUGACCAAACUCAUUUCAAACCAGUUGAAUGUGAAAAUGUAUGUGACAAAAAUGAACCGUCCAGCCUUGCUCAAAAAAAGCAAUAAUUCCCAUCUCCACCAGUAGGAAAAAAAUUGAAAAAAUUUUUAAUAGAAAAAAAAAUCUCCUUUCACUGAAAGAAAAAAAUAAUUGAAAAAAUUAAGUUCAAUCAUAAAUAAAGAGAAAAAAUUCAUAAAAAUUUUAAAUUAAAAAAAAUUAUCUAUAAUAUCAAAAUAACAAAUUAUAAAAUAAAUUACAAAAUGAAUAAAUAAGAAAAAAAUUUCAUACGUAAAUUUUUUUUUUGCUCCGUGCACGGAAUAAAUAUUCACUCUGGGCAUAGAUUUUUAAAUAAAUAUUUAGAUAUAUUUACUUUUUUUAAAUUAAAUAUUAAUAAAAAGAUUACACUAUCUAGAAUGUAAAAAGUUAUAAGUAAAAAAAUCACUUCAAAUUAUUUAAAAGUAAUAAAAAAAACUUAUAAUUGUAAAAGUUACUAAUAGAUAGAAAAAUAUUAAUUUCAACAUUUUUAAGUAAUUAUUUAGAUAUAUUUAAUUUUUUUAAAAUAAACAUUAAUAAAAAUUUUACUAUAAUUAAAAAAAUUGCGUGGAGUGUCUCCAUCUCCAUGAAGGGACUCCAUAGAGUCCGUGCAUGGAGUAUCUCCUUGGAGACACUUCACUCCAUGCACGGAGUAUUAGUGUAUGUUAUUUUUUUAUUAUAGAUUUUUUUAAUAUUUAAUUUUAAAAUUUUAAAUAUAUCUAAAUAUUUACUUAAAAAUGUUGAACUUAAUAUUUUUUUUAUCUAUAAGAAGCUUUUAUAAUUAUAUGUUUUUUAUUACUUUUAAUAACUUGAAGUGAUUUUUUUACUUAUAAGUAACUUUUUACAUUCUAGUCAGUGUAAUAUUUUUGUUAAUAUUUAAUUUAAAAAACCAAAUAUAUCUAAAUAUUAUACUUAAAAAAUUAUAAGUUAAUAUUUUUUUACUUAUAAAUAGCUUUUGUUAUUAUAAGAGAAUGAUGAAUUAAUAUUUUUUUAACCUGUAAGUAGCUUUUACAAUUAUAAAUUUUUUUAUUACUUUUAAAUAACUUGAAGUGUUUUUUUUACUCAUAAGUAACUUUUUAUAUUCUAGAUAGUGUAAUAUUUUUAUUAAUAUUUAAUUUAUAAAACUAAAUAUAUCCAAAUAUUUAUACUUAAAAAAUUUUAAGUUAAUAUUUUUUUUCUUAUAAGUAGUUUUUAUAAUUAUAAAAUUCGUUUUACCUUUAAAUAAUUUUAAGUGAUCUUUUUAGUUAUAAGUAACUUUUUACAUUUUAGAAAUAAAGAAUAAUAGUUUGGAAAUGCCUUUUGUAAUGCCUCGUGACAUAUUCUACGAUGGUCGUUUCGCGCACCAUUGACGAAGUGCAAUACUAUGCCGUUAUUACUUCAAAAUGAUAUGAAGAAUGUAAUAUUUUAAUUUCGUUUGAUAUCCUGUAAUGAGCCCAAAAAUGAAAAAAAAAAUUUGUUUGAGAGCAUUUGCUUCAUGCACGGAGCAGGUUUGGCUCGUGCACUCUGGAGAGAGAGAUUUUUUUUUCCUUUUUCUUUUUUUUUUAGCAAAUUUCAUUUAGAUAAAUAUGUUAGUGUAAAAUAUAUUUUAAAAAUUAAAUAUAUCUACAUAUCUACUUAAAAAUUUAAAUUAAUAAUUUUUAAUUAUAAGUAGUUUUUAUAAUUAUAAGUUUUUUUACUUUUAAAUAACUUGAAGUAAUUUUUUGAGAAAAUUGUCGAGGAAAAAUAAUUAACAUUAAUAAAAUAAUUAAUUUUUUUUAAAAAAAAGACGAGUUAUGCUGAUUUUUUAACACACACGUUUGAUAUACGUUUAACUAUUUUCGAUAUUCAUUUAAAUCAUUCGAUGUGUUUAUGAUAUAGUUCUCAAAAUGAGUUUCGAGAGAAUAUAGAAGAUUUAUUGAUUUGACUACCGUACAAUCGUCGAUGAAUUUUUGAAAUUAGCUUGUUAUCGAAAUUUCCAAAAUAAUAGUUUGAAAAUGCCUAUUUUGACGCCCCGUAACAUUUGUUACAAUUGACCGUUUCACGCACCGUUAACGACGUGUAAUACUAUGUCGUGAGUACUUCAAAAUGAUAUAAAAAAUGUAAUAUUUCGACUUCAUUUGAUAUUUCAUAAAAAGCCCAAAAAUGAAAACAAACACAUAAGUAUUAAAAAAAAAAAAAAAAACACAUUUGAGCAAUGCUCCGUGCACGAAGCAAACAAACUCCGUUCAGCAAACAUACAUAUACACACACACACAACUUUUAUUUGUACUAAUUUUGUUUAUUAAUAUUUAAUUUUAAAAAAUUACAUAUAUAUAAAUAUUCAAUUAUUAAUAUUUUUUUACCUAUAAGUAGAUUUUACAAUUAUAAGUUUUUUCAUUACUUUUAAAUAAUUUUAAAUGAUUUUUUUACUCAUAAGUAACUUUUUACAUUCUAGAUAGUGUAAUCUUUUUGUUAAUAUUUAAUUUAAAAAAUUAAAUAUAUCUAAACAUUUAUACUUAAAAUAUUUUAAGUUAAUAUUUUUUUACUUAUAAGUAGCUUUUACAAUUAUAAGAGAAGAGAUUAAUAUAUAUAUAUUUUUUACCUAUAAGUAGCUUUUAGAAUUAUCAAUUUUUUUUAUUACUUUUAAAUAAGUUGAAGUGAUUUUUUUACUUAUAAGUAAUUUUUUACAUUCUAAACAGUGUAAUCUUUUUAUUAAUAUUUAAUUUAAAAACUAAAUAUAUCUAAAUAUUUAUACUUCAAAAAUUUUAAGUUAAUAUUUUAUUAACUUUCAUAAAGUGAAGUAAUGUGUGAAAAUGAAGAAAUAUUGUAGUGAAAGUGACAUUACAGUGAAAACGAUGUGUGAAAAUGAUGAAAUGACGUGUGAAAAAAAUGUUACAGUGUAAUUGAAUAGAAUAAUUUAUUAUUGCUAAAUCAGUUUCAAACCAGUUUAAUGUGAAAACUUAUGUGAAAAAAUGAAUAGUAAACCUCACAUUCUCUCUUUUAAGAUAAUAAGGAGGGAUCAUAGAACUUUGUGAAAAAUGAGUUCUGCUAGUUAAGAAAAAAGAAACUUCAAGAAUCAGCUUUGAUGAAGUAGCUUAAAUUUACUUUUAACUACAAUCACACUUCACAACUGGUAUUUUGGUUUCUAUAAGAGAAUUAGGAGUGUAAACAAUUUUACUUCCUAAAGGUGUUCUCCAUUGUGUACAAGAUUAAAAGAAACUUUUGAAAAUGUUCUAAGCUAAUCAAACAUUACUUAUAAGUUUAUUUUUUGUUAAGCCUACCCGAACAUUAAUUCUUACACAAGUCUAACCACGGUUUUUUAAGUAAAUAAUCAUGUUUUUUUACUUAUAAGAAGUUUAUUUUUUAUAAAGCCCACCUAAACAUUAAUUCUUACACGAGCUUAAACAUUGUUUUUAAAUAAAUAAUGUUACUGAUCACUAAUAGAUAUUAUCAUCUAUCAAGAUAAUUCCAUAUAACAAUGGAUCAAAGAGGCUAUUAUUCUGUAUGAUCGUCUCUUUUGAUGUUAUAUAGCAUUACCCUAUUCUACAAUUCACGAAAUAAUCCCAAAAUCACCAAAACAAAUAGUAUUUCAAAGCAACAGUACAUCAGAUAAUAUUUUAGCCUGUAGGUGUAAUAUAAUUAUUCUAAGAAAAUUCAUCUAAUCUACUAACAGUAAACCAAAGGAAGGCAUUAUUUCCCAAUUGGCCAAUCUAAAGUGCUUCCUCAGUGUGACGUUACUUGCAUUCUUCCAUAUUGAAGCAUCUAAUCUGCUUCUCUGGCGAUUUUUCACUUGAGAAAUUUAACCAGUGCAGGAACACAAAUCACCUAAAAGUUGAUUUGACUGUAGAGAAGAUAGAGAUGUUGGGUAGAGCCGUAGAGCAGCUUCGUGAAAUCCUCUGAAGGCAUCCUUAACUUUCUUUUCUUAUUCUCAGGAAAUGCAGAAACUUUAAUCAUCGUAUUUGGUGAAGAAAAUGAGAUGUUCUCCUUGUCAAUGUUAGUGCAAAGAAAAUGUUGGAAAAUUGGAAUAAUUAGUCGGUUUCACCAACUUUUGACCAAUUAUUUAAGUGGGUCUCGUUAGUUGGAUAAAUGAUUUAUUUCGCCAAGUGCAUUAUACUCCAAGAGUAGAAUUGAUAUAUGUAUUUAUUUCUCAAAUAUAAUUAAGGGUGAAUGAGAAAUUAAAACCAAAAAAUGAUCACUUGAAGUUAAAAUAAAUUAGGAACAAAAAAUUGGUGGAAAAUUAGAAAGUGUCAAUCCCACAUAGGAAAACUAGAAGAAUAUAAACCACUUUAUAUAACUCGAGUUAGGGACUUGGGUUUGGGCUCCAAGGGGUACCACUAGUCUUUAGAGGAGAGACAACCUAUAUGCUAGUAGGUUCAACUAAAGCCCACACGCUCGCGUUGCUGUCGUCCAAUCGGCACGAGCACGUGUAUUUUUGGUAAAAUAAUAUUUUAAAUUAUAUUAUUUUAUUAAUUAAAUAAUAUAAUUUUAUUAUAUUAUUUAUUUUUUCUUCCCCGAAUUUUCUGUGCAAGACACGUGGAUUCUUCUAAAUGGGUUAUGUCUGUUCCAAGACACAACCUUUCAGCUGUUGUGUUUUUUGGGCACAACCUUUCAAUUUCUAUAAAUAGACCCCAAAUCCCCGAUUUUAUUCACUCUAGAAAAUUUAUUCUACUUCCCUUCUCAUGUAAUAUUUUCCUUCCGUCCUGCAGUAUUUCAUAUAUUUGCAUUUCAGUUCGAAAUAUUAUUUUCAUGCAUUUUACUCCUCCGAUUCCCGAGAGAUCAAAUAUUAGUAAGUUCGUCGGAUCUUGUAAUUUGAAAUGCUACUAUUACAAGUCGAGGUCGUUGUAUCUUGGGAGACGAGUGCUAGGAGAUCGUCAGCACCAGUGCGAGGCAUUUUCGUCUUAAAGAGAAAGAGUCGAACUCUUGUCUCGACCAUUAUUUAUUAGAAUUUAUUGCGCUAAUUUUGUAAGUCGAAAUUCUGCCCGAAUAUUUAUUCGCUAUCUAUUUAUGUAAAUUACCGCACGACAUUCUCGAAGAUUUUCAAUAAUCUUAAGACAAAAUUUUUUAUUUACGUGUUAAUUUAUAUUUUGAAAUUUUGUUAGACUAUGGCAAGUAACAACAUAUCCGUCGUACACCCAAACAGCGCUCACGAGGAGAAACCAGAAAAAUUCACACGAGUGGAUUUUAAAAGAUGGCAACAGAAAAUGCUAUUUUAUCUCACAAUUCUGAAUUUGGCAAAAUUCUUGAGUGAAGAUGCUCCAACUGUUGAGGAGGAAGAAACAGAUUCUAAUUAAAGCUCUGAUUUGAAUCUAGAAUUAUCAUCAUACAAGUAUUAUAACUAUUCUAACUCUAUAGGUAGAGACUAGAUAGAAUCUGAAAUUCCUACUAUAAUCAUAAUACAUAAUUCUAUAGUGUUCAAAUUUGGAGAGAGAAAUUUUUUAAUUUUUUUUUGAACUUUUAUGAAUUGUCCAGUUCAAGAAUUUUUUUCUUGAUUUAAUUAAAAGAAGGUGUCCACUUACCGGUGUAGUCUUGAUUUUGGAGAAUACCAUAGAAGACUUGAAGGUUUGAAGCAUCAAGUUUUUGCAUUUACAAGAUAGGUGUUUGUGAUUUAAAAAAUUGAAAGUUCGUGAAUCCGAAUUAAUUAAAGAAUUGAUUAUUGAGUUUCAGUAAAAAUUUGAAUCCUUUAUUAUAUAUGAUGGUUUAUUGAAUUAAAGAAAUUUUUUUAAUUUCUGGAUAAUUCCGCUUCCGCAUUCUAACAAUUGGUAUACAAACAAUCUAGAUCGUUCACGCGCUUGUUAUUUCUGAAUCUUGUUUGCAUGUUCUAGUUGAGCGAUGCCUAGGAAUAUUUUAUAAUGUGAUGAUUGAAUUAUUUUAAACUAUGAUCCUAUUAUUUGUGGUCAGUUCUUGAUUAUAAUUCGUCAUUUCGAGUAUAUAACGAGAUAUGUAGAUUACGACUCCAUCAUCUUGAUUUAAUUUUCAUUUCAAUUAAAUUCAAAAUUGUUAGUCCAUGAAACAUAGGAAUUAUGUAAUUCUUAUAAUUUUGUAUUUUGUAAAUUGAUUGAAGAUUGAAGACCGAGACGAUCAAGAAGAAAUCAAGAAUUGCAGAAAAAAUUAUUUUUCCUAAAGACAGUAAAAACCGUCUACGUGUGCAGAAAAGUUUUCUGUCUACACUGUUAUUUUUUAUUAUUAAAAAUCGAAAUUAAUUUUAUGUAAGUACGGUGGCAAAGUCCUUUGGUAUUUUUGGAGUCUACUGUUAGAUCCUUGAAGAUUUUUGGUUGAAGUUAUUGGUAUUACAAUCUACCCUCCUAACAAUUAAUUUUGGCAGAGUCAUAGCACCAUUGUGCUUUUAAUAAGGGGAUCACCUUAUUCCUGAAUGCUUGAAAUUUAAUAUUAAUGAUUCUUAUUUAGACUUCCCAGUAGCUCAAACCCCGUCGUAACUUAAUGGAUUGAUGGUUGACCACAUGACUUGUGUAAAUGAAUGUACUUUCAAAGCAUUGACAUAUGGAAGACGUCAUGCAAAGUUGAUAUGCAACAUUCCCAAUUCAUUACAAGACUUCAAACGAACCAAUGAACCUUGAUCGUAACUUACCCUUGUUACCAAAAGUAACAUUCCUUUCAUUGGUGCAAUUGAUAGGUAUGUUUUGGCACACUUAUUUAAUAUAUAAAUAUACUUAUUAUCGAUGAAAAAGGAUAGAUAUCGACUCACAAUUGGGUAAUUUUGACUUUUGUAGGUCAUAAACUCCAAAUUGAAAAAGAACAAAGCAAAAAGAAGAGAAAAUGAACCAAAAGCGUACAAAAAAUGAAGUUGGGACCAAAUUGCACAAUGGCGAGUAGUUGAAGGACUUGGGAAGCAAUUUAUGAAGGGCAAAAUUGAUAUAAAAGUCAAAAUUCGAGGACAAAAUCAUAGUUGAGGGACCUAGUGUGCAAAUAUUGGAAAAAAUGAGCUACAAGUUGCUGAAAAGGAGGGUAGCCUAGGCGCUCACUUGAUGCCCUUUUAUAGAUCUUGGGGCCUCGUUUCGGCCUAAGUCCAUUUUAAAUGUUUUUCCAAAAUUUGAGGACUUAGGGUGUAAUUUUCUAAUGGUUUUGAGGGAUUUUGAAGAUGGAAUAAACGCAUCCAGGGGAAAAUUCUUCUCCUUCCUUCUUUAUUUCUUUUUGCUUUUCAUUUUCUUUUCUCUCAUUUUCUUUGUUCUUUCUUUUUAUGUUCUUUUUCUUUUUAUUUUUUCUAGUUAAAACCUAAAACACAAUGAGGAGAUAUCAAAGUUUUGGAGAAAUCAAGAGCAAGUAAUUUUCGUCUGUAAAAAUCUAACGAAAAGGGAUUUUAUCUAUAAACUUGUAGUUUCUCCAUUGUUUUAUCAUACUUGUAAGGUAAUGUUAUAAAUAUUCUCCUUUUUAUCAUUUAUAUAACAUGAGCUAAAUAUUUGUGUUGAGAUUUAUGGAUGAAAUUUAAGUUUGCUUUAAUUAAUUUCAAUAUUUGCUUUUUAAUACUAAAAUACUUAUUUCUAUGUGUAUCUACUAUUAUAUUUCUUUCAUUUUCAUUUAUGUGGCCAAUGAAUGAUUGUGUUUAGUGAUUUGUAAAUCGUUCAAGAUAAUAUUGUGCAUUUUAAAUCAAAUAGUAAGAACCCUAAAUUUGUGUAGGGGAAUAGUGAUAAUCCCUAACCCUAGGUAACCCAUUGAGCUAUUUUCACAAAAGUUCAAUACAAUUGUUUGUUUUAAUCGACAUAUAGAUAGAUUAUGUUCAACCAAUGAAUUAGGGUUAAUUUUGCUCGAGAAAUGUAAUCAACUAAAAUUGAAAAAUUGGGUCUGACAUAGUAAACAAGUAAUUUGUUAAUUGACUUAUUGAGAAAUUAAUUAGGCGACGGUUAAAUGAAACAUUGAAUCCCAACCACGUUCUCUUCCAAAAUUUCCAAAUUCUUAUGUUUUCUUAUUUUGUAGAUUUUUAGUUAAUUUUCAUUAUUUUCCAAAAUUAAAUCUUUGUUGUGUGUUUGGUUUCUUUGUUAAGAUUAAAUUAAUUAAAGUUAUGUAAUCAAAAGUAAACAUUUAUCGAGGGAUCGACAACCUAGACUCAAAAAGUCCACUUUAUUAUUUAAACACGACCCGUACACUUGCGAUGUAUAAUUUUAACGAACAGCAGCCUUGAGAAAUACUUUGUCACCUAUUGAAAAUUCAAUUCAUUUCCUGUUUUGUCUAUCCAGAGCAAUUUUCAUACUAUCCCGAAUUUUCUUAAUAGCCUACGCUAUUUGUACAAUGAUCUCUGGAUCCAAAAUCCUUUGCUCACCAACCUCAUCGCAAUGAACUGGUGAUUUACACCUCCUCCCAUACAAUACCUCAUAAGGUGCUAUGCCACUAGAAGCGUGAUAACUAUUGUUGUAUGCAAACUCAAUCAAGGGUAAAUGUUUCUCUCAAUAUCCUCCAAACUCAAGGACACAUGUUUGGAGUAUAUCUUCCAGUGUUUAAAUCGUUCGCUCAAACUGAAGGCGAAAAGCUGUACUAAAUUUUAACUUAGUUCCCAUAGCUUGUUGUAACAUUUUCAGAAGCUCAAUGUGAACCUUGGAUUUUUAUCUGAUACAAUUGAAAUGGGCAUACCAUGCAACCUUAUUAUCUCAUUUACAGAUAACCGUGCCAAUUGGUCCAUUGAAAAAUGUCAUCCGAACCAGCAAGAAAUGAGUUGAUCCACAAUGACCCAAAGAGCCUCAUUACACCUUGUUGAAUUUGGGAAACUGAAGAUAAAGUCCAGUAUUACAUGCUCCUAUUUCCAGUCCAGAACUUCUAAUAGUUCAAGUAACCUUGACGGACGUUGAUGUUCAACCUUCACUUGUUGACAUACUAAACAACUUUCGACACACUCAGCUAUAUCCCUCUCCAUGCAUUUCCACCAAAAUACCGCCUUAAGGUCUUGGUACGUCUUUGUAUCUCAAAUGUACUAAAUAAGGAAUGGAGUGUGUCUUUUCUAAUAUUUCCUUUUCAACUCCUCAAAGUCUGGUACCCACAAGCGUUAUUGAUAAUACAGGAACUUGUCCUUAUCCAUGGUGAAAUUCUUUCGCUUCUCUGUAUCAAUCUUUGACAUAAUGAAUUCACAUGACUGAUCAUCUUUCUAAUGGUCUUUAAUUAUGUCACUGAAUGUUGAUCAAAUCGAAGUGCUACCAUUCGAGCAAUAGUACCUGGCGGUGUUGUGACCAAUUUGAGACUAACUCUCUCGAGCUCUUUCCAUAAUGGCUUUUGUAGUCAAAGUCGCCACUUGACUUGUCACUUUAUAACUCAAGUUGCUGCUACAACAUUCACCUUCACUGGGUGACAGUGAAUGUUGCAGUCGUAACUUUUUACGAACUUAAGCUAUCUUCUCUAUCUCGUGUUCAACUUCUUCUAAGUAAAGAUGUAUGUGAGAUUCUUGUGGUCUUUUAAAUGUCAGAUUUACCUCCAUAAAGGUAGUGCCUCCAAAUGUUUAGUGCAUGGACUAUCAAGCAAGUUCUAAGUCGUGCGUAGAGUAAUUUUGCUCAAGUGACUUCAAUUGUCUUGAUGCAUAAGCGACCACUUUACUGUACUGCAUCAAGAUACAUUAUAUUUCCUUCUUAGAGGCAUCACUGUAAAUCACGAAACCCUCUGAUCCUUCAGUUAUAGUUAAAACUGGAGCAUUCACUAACUUCUAUUUCAAUUCCUCAAAAUUAUGCUCACAUUUCUCUAUCCAAUCAAAUAUUUCACCCUCACAAGUUAAUUGUGUUAGUGGUCCUGAUAUCUUGGAAAAUCCUUCAAUAAACCUCCUUAGUAUCCCACCAAGACCAAAAAGUUGCGAAUUUCUCCUACAAUGGUUGGCCUUGACCACUUUAACAUCACCUCCACUUUGCCUGGAUCAACCUCUAUGCUUCGGGUUGUGACAACAUGUCCAACGAUUACAUUUUAGCUUUUGUAGCCAUCCUUCCUUUAACCUUCUCUCACACGCUAUAUGAAUUUCUUUAUAUUGUUUACUUCAGAUAUGCAUUCAAAGACUUCUAUCGUCUUCCUUUCACUUUCCCUUUCUAUUCUAUUUUACUACUAUUAAUCGUUUGAUUUUCUGUCUUCCCUUCUUUCGAGCUUCUGUGAAUCCUUUGCAAAAAACGAGUAACAGUUCCACACGAAGUGGACAACAAAAAGGGAAAAUUUUCACUCGAAUUGGACCUUAGUGACUACAAAAUUUCCUCUUGCCCAUGUUCAAAGUUUUGUGAAUCUUUCACAAAACCAAUAUAAAUUGGACCGUGUUGACAACUAUCUUCAUCUGUUAUCUCUUAUUGUGUAUGUAUUUUCAUUUCUGUAUUUUUGUUUGUGUUCUUUUGUGAUAUUUUUUUCCCGUAUGCUGAGUUAUCGUUUACACUAUUUGUAAGAUCUUUGUUUUCUCUUCGCUGCCUUGUUUAUCAAUUAUGUUUUCUUAGAAUUUUCAAAUUAAUAACGCAUCAAUUUACAAAUACAAAUAGUUACAAUGCGCGAGGGUUUCCUUCGAAGGUAGAACGUUCCGCUCAUGUAUAUCAUAUUUAAUUAAUUUUUUGAUGCGUGGAUUGUGAAAACCUUAGUUUUUUAAGUUUCAGUUUCCACAUAAAUCAUAUAAAUCUAAAACCUCACCUAAACGUUAUAUAAACAGUAUUCUUGCUUCCAAUUUUGCUAAUAAUUGUAGAGUCAUUGACUCUUUAUGAGAAUUUUGGCGGUUAAAGAUUUAUUUUAUUUUAUUAUUUAUUUAUUAUUAUUAUUUUUUAUUUUUUGGGGAUUUUGGAAAUGGGUUUGGAAUUUCAUUUUUAUAUUCAAUCGAGAUGGUUUAGAUGAAGAAAUAAACCUACUUUUCCAAUUAAACACAGUUUUCCGUCAUUUAGUUAUGAUAUGAAAUUAUAUUUUCUUUGGUUUCUUAUUUGGGUGUAAUCAUAGUGUAUUUUAUAUUGGUUCAGUUGAUUUUUACAUGGUCGUGACUGAAUUACCAAGAAGAAUUUUAAGAAUUUGGGGGAAAUAUGGCAUUGUAUAAGGGUAUAUUGUCAAAAUCUAUUUUAGUUUGAUCUCUUCUGCUUGAGUUUUAUCCUUAUAUGAGGGUCUGGUCUAUUUACCCCAUUUCAGUUUUGUGAACAUUUAUGAAGCUAAGAUAUGAAGUGGUUAAUGACACUCGUGUAGAAAAUCAUGAUUUCUUGAAGCUUUGCUAAAUUCCAUUAGAACAGUAAUCUUUGAGGGAUGUAUAGCGUUUAUAAAUUGCUAUAGUUGGAUAUGAAUUGGGACGACCAUAGGGAGUCAACAAUUACAUAUAAAAUGCAAAAUAGAAUGCCAUAUGUAUAUAAUAUUGGCAACUAUUGAAUUCAUGUCUCUAGUAAUCUCUUACCUCCAUCUCUCCCUCACCGCAUGCUUGGCAAGUGUAUAAAUGUAUCCCUUAAAAUGACUCACAUAAAAUUAUAACCAUGAGCAAAUUAACAGUUUAAUUAUCCAUCCAAUUGAAACUUAGUUCAAGUCUAAUUAAACUCAACCACAUGGUUUACUAUUUGUAUUAAUACUUGCAGCUUUUCACAUUUAGGCUCAAAUAAAUAAAUAUUCACCACAACAAAAAUAACUUUUUGCAACAUUCAAAAACUGUUGCGAAAGAUCUUUUGCAACAUUAGAACACGUUGCAAAUCUUGAUGUUACUGUAGAAUAGAAGGAUAUUAAAAAAAGUUUGAAUGUUACUAAUAAUCUUUUUGUAACUUUUUAAAAUUGUUGCUAGUAACCUUUUUGCAAAAAUUGUUGCUAAUAACCUUUUUACACCUUUUUUGAAUGUUAUCUAUAUUUAUAUCCUUAUUUUUUGAAACAUUUAUUGAAUGUUGUCAUUUCUUACCUUUAAAAAAAAAAUACAAUAUAAAUUGUUAUAUACAAAUAUAUAUAUAUAUAUAUUAUUCUACAUGUCUAUAGUCUUUAAAUUUAUUUGUACAAUAACAAUAAAUAAUAAAUCAGUCAUCACAUCACAAAUAAUAAAUAUCACAUGCUUAUUGUAAGAGAAAAAGAAAAACCUUAAAAUUAUAGUACUUUUCAAGUGUCCAACUAACAAAAACAAAUAUUGUUGGACAAUGUCUUUUCUAAAAAAAAUCUUUUCGAAAAGCACAAGUUAUCCAUCUAAUAAUCCACAUUUUAGCCUAUAUCGGCAACAGCAGCAUUUAGAUUACUUUACUAGGAGAAAGUGCGCAAAAAGAAAUUAAAGUUCGCAACAAAAUUGGAACCAAAAAAGGCUCGCUACAAAGAAAAACACCAUAAUUUAGGUCAUUGCACCUUCCUGAAAAUUAAUAGAUAUAAGGAGAAGAAUUGGUCAUUAAUCCAUCAACAAAAUUGGCAAAAAAAGAACUAAUCACGCAACAUUAUUAUUUCUUUAAAUGAUUUUACAUCAAAUAAUCAUAUUUCAUUUGUUAGCUCACAAUUAAGAGACGAUUUCACUAUCAAAAUUCAAGAAAAGUUCUACAUGCAAUUGUGAUCAUAUAAAAAUGGAAAAGAAAUUAGAAGUCAAAAGUAUAAAAUAUAUUAUGAACCCUCUUGAGAAUCAAUGACAUAAGUCAUAAACAAAGAAGAAACAACAAUCACCUUGUUUAUAAUAAUAUGGAGUCGAAUAAAUACAUCGCGGACUGAUUAAAAAAGAAAAAAGAAUAGAUACAAUAUCUGUCAGUUUGUCUAACUUGUGGUCCACCAAGAGGCCGAUGGAUCAUUAUCCUCGAGUUUGGAAGGCUAUACCUUUUUCCUUCAGUAAUUAUCAGAGAGAAUUGUAUAGAAACUUCAGCAAGUAAAAUAACCACCAAUAGAAUGUUGAACUUCUUAAAGUAAAAUGCAUUAGCAUGCAUGUCUUUGAGCAUGCUGGAUACAAUAGUAAGAUGAUGAAACACCAAAUAUACACAUCAGAAGAACUAAAGAAACAACAAUCUUUGCCAAUUACUAUGAAAAUAUGUUGGUAUUAUAAAAUUAGAGAUGAACUGACUACUAAUAAAGCUUCAAUUUUAAUUUUUUUUUCCAGCAAAGAAAGAGGUUUCAAAUAUCUCAUAACAAAUCUUGAAGAAAGAAAAUAGUUGCUUGUCUAACAGAGGUACUUGGUUACUCUCUCUACCACUAAGGAAAGUUAGAAAUACAAUAUUAGUAGAAUCUACACCAAAUUGUAAUUAAAUAGCAGUAAUGUAUCAUAACCAGGCCACUAAUCCAACACAUACAGUAGAAAGUCUGGUCUACUAUGCCUCAUUUUGACAAUAAUGACCAUACCUACCACAAUAAUGGAAAGCAAAUAAGACAAAUAAAUGGUCAAAAGCUAGAAAGAUGGAGUGGAAAAGGAAAAAAGAAAUGUUACAAGCUGUAACUGAUCUCUCUUUUCCACAGCUUCAAAAUCUUAAAUGCAGAGAAGGGUCACCACCAUAAACUGCUUUAUAUAAAUUAUUUUUAACACAUAAUCCCCAAUAUUUAACACUUGAAUUGGUUUUCAUACUAAAAAUCCAAGAAAAUCAAAAGACUUAACCAGCAUUGUAUUUCCAGACUAUUGAAAUGUGGCACCAGUUUCUGCAUAUUGGAAAGCGUCACUGAAAUCAUUGACAAAAAAUAGCAAUUUCUUGAAUAACUGAGAAAUUAAACCUUGAAUCCUUAAUCAACUGAUUGAUAUCAUAUAACUACAACAAUUUUAAAGAUUCAAUCUAUAAUUUACAAUGACUUCAACAUGAAUCUUCCAAUAUACAGUUGUCCUUGCAUUAAUAUUCUUGAAUAACUUAAAUACAUCUUAAUAACCUUUAAUUCUUUCUAAACUUCGAAAAUAAACCAAUUUUUCAUGAACCCUAAAAUUAAAUUGAAGCAAAUCUGCUGCUUUACCUCUAAAAGGAAGAAAUUGAACACCCUACGUCAUUAAUGUUGCCAUCCUUUUCUUUCUCCUCAUUUUUUUCUCUCUUCUUUCUUUUCAUCUCCUCAUUUCUUCUCUUCUCUUGAUUCUUCCCUGCUUGUUUCUUUUCAUUCUCCAAAUGAAAAUAAUGGGUCCAAUGAGAGUUAAGUAUAACUGUCACAAAUUUGCAAAAGAAGUCCCUUUACCUUAUGGGCUGGGUGAAUUUUAAUUGGGUCGUGGGCUACUAUUCACAGCAUUUAACGACCGUUGCAAAAAGUGAUUUUUUUUUUGAAUGCUUUCGCAAUAGUUAAUGAAUAUUGCAAAAAAUGAAACUUUUCCAAACAUUCAAUAAACGUUAUAAAAAGUGACGUUGCAAAAAGUUCACUUUGCAUUAGUUAAUAAACAUUGCAAAAGGCCAUAUAUUACGAGUUUCAACAAUGUGCACUGAACGUUGGUGUAAAGCCAGAUUUUAACAACAUUCAAUAAACAUUGAAAAAAAAUGAAAAUUUUCGCAGCAUUCAAUGAAUGUUACAAAAAAGUUAACUUUUUGUUAAAGCCAACAAACGUUUCAAAAGGCUAUAUAUUAAGAGUUUCAG